rnacentral:lncRNA from 1 species
GAUCGUGAUGAGAUCACGAUAAUGAGAUCGAUUCACCUUUAAACACAUAUCCUAAAUAAUCCCGGUCAUAGGUUACUCGAGAGGGACAUCGUGAUAACUGGAUAGACUAGUGUGCUGUAUACCCGUCCAUAUGAUGGAUACAGCUGGUCUCAUAGCUGCUCGUGUAGGGACACUAGGGAUACAGUACAGGUGCUCAUUGGAGAAUGAGUUCACUGAUUGAUCCGCUUACGGAAUGCUGGAUGGUUGAUGAUGCCUUAUUGUCAGACAACGAUUCCGUAGUCCUAGUGGUGUAUCUGGUCCUUAGACUUGAGACACCAAGGAUGUCCUGUAUGAGUGCUCCACUCUUUGAUACCAGACUUAUAGGUUUGGCUGUCCCAGAUCUAGUACAGCUGGUCAUUGGGA